rnacentral:tRNA from 1 species
CGGGGAUUGGCGCAGUUGGCUAGCGCGCGCGGUUUGGGACCGCGAGGUCGUAGGUUCGAGUCCUAUAUCCCCGACCA